GAUCAUGGCUCAGGAUGAACGCUGGCGGCGCGCCUAACACAUGCAAGUCGAACGGACUUACAUUGAAGCCUAGCGAUAUGUAAGUUAGUGGCGGACGGGUGAGUAACGCGUGGGUAACCUGCCUUGUACUGGGGGACAACAGUUGGAAACGACUGCUAAUACCGCAUAAGCGCACAGCUUCGCAUGAAGCAAUGUGAAAAGCUCCGGUGGUACAAGAUGGACCCGCGU
rnacentral:rRNA from 1 species